rnacentral:rRNA from 1 species
CCCUUAGAUGUUCUGGGCUGCACGCGCGCUACACUGACAUACUCAGCAAGUUUCCUUUCCCGAAAGGGUUGGGUAAUCUUGUUAGUGUAUGUCGUGAUGGGGAUAGCAUAUUGUAAUUAUUGCUCUUUAACGAGGAAUUCCUAGUAAGCGCAAGUCAACAGCUUGCGCUGAUUACGUCCCUGCCCUUUGUACACACCGCCCGUCGCUCCUACCGAUUGGGUGAUCCGGUGAAUGGUUCGGACUCUGGCUAUGCUAGCUACUAGCUACGUCAGGGAAAGUUCUGUGAACCUUAUCACUUGGAGGAAGGAGAAGUCGUANCA